ACAGUUUGCCAAUCUAGACAAAUGCCAAACAAACAAAAUAGGGUAUAAAUAUCUUAUUAAAUGUAUUGCAUUUGUGUUUAUCACUGAAUCCUCUUUAAAAUUCAGACAAAUAUUUUAUAUUACCCAGUAUUGCCCAGUUUUACCCACUAAAACCCAGUAAAACCCGGGUUUUCCCAGUAUUUCCCACUGGGCUGGGCAAUACUCAUAAAACCCGGGUUUUUGCCAACCCUGAUUCCUACCCUCAUAUAUUGAUAAAAAUUCCCCAAUGAGGAUGAAAAGACUGAAAUACUUUGGGAUUUAUUUAUUUUUGUGUCCUGUCUAUUGAAGAAGUUGGAAUCUAUUUUCCUGUCUGAUCAUCCAUGUCUCCAUUAGUCUAUAUGUCAGUUUAUCUGUAAAUCAAUAGUUAUAAGGUAAGUUUGGGGUGAAUGUUGUUACUCAUGAAGUUGUGGUUACAUCAACUUUAAACUUAGUACACAAGUUGAUGAUGAAGUACAAUCUGUUUGAACUAUAUGCCAAAUCAGGGUUUAAACUCAGAUUUUUUCAGUUCACUAAACAUUAAAAUGUCAGAAUGUUAACAGGGAAUGGUGUCAUGUAUAUAUCGAAUGUAAAUAUCUGAUAUUUAAUUAUUCUACACACACAAAAAUAUAUUGACUUUUUUUUUAAAGGUAUGUGAGUUACUUUUACUUCUACAUCUUUUGAAUGAUAGAUUAUUGAAUUGGUGUUUGAGUUUGUUAAGAAAAAGAAAUAUCUGAAAAGGUUUAGAUUUCUUAAGACAGAGAUGUAAAAUAAAAAUACAGAUUUAGGGUAAUUAUAGGUUUAGUGUAUUUAUAUGUAUAAUACCUAUCAUAAGGAUGUACACAAAGUCAUAAUUAAUUUAUAGAACUUGAAAGUAUUCUUCUAGUGAUGAAUGUAUUGGAUAAGUAUAUUAUUCAAUUUAUGAUUGUAAAAUAAACAUUUGCCUUAUAUAAACAAUUAUCACUAAGUAUCUCUUUAUAGCAAAAAGAAAGGAAUUUUGACUUAGAACAGGAUUUUGUUUGUUUAUGUUUAUUGUUAUUUUUAACCAUAACAAAAAGCCAGUCUCUGAGCUCAAUGUAAGUGGAGAUAAACCACUGUCAUGCAUUAAUUUUAUUUUAAAAAAUCUUUUUCAAUGUGUUCUCAAUAUUUUCUGUGAUAAAAUAUACAUUUAAAAAUAUAUAUAUAUAUAUAUUGGUUAAGGAACUUUGCAUUAUUCAAUUUGCAUAAAUGUAUUUGUUUCAUAUAAAUACUUAUACUGUAAGAGGUGGACAGAAGUCUAUUAAAAGAGUAAAACAAGUAAUAAAUUGCUUGUCCAACAGAUUGUGUGAAUAUUCACAUUUUUAUUGACUACGCCUCCUUAGAUCAAAUCAUUAUAGUAUUGAAUUUGUUAUAGUGACCGUAUAAUUGACUCCUCACUGACCAUUUGAUAUUUGUGUUCAUUUCAUAUGGUCAUUAUUAGAAAUGAUACUGGCCAUAACAGACUUUUAUAUCUUGUUAAAUAUCAGAUGAUAUGGUCAUCAAUAUGUUAUUUAAUGUGAAAUCUUGUUGUUGAAUACAAAUAAUGGCUUGCUAAUUUUCCUUUUUCGUGUGAAUAUUUGAUGGUCUGUUGAGAUGUUUAUGAGUGCAGUGGGUCGUAUGAAUGGAAAUUGAAGUAAGAACAGAUUGCCUAAUUGUGUUGAGUUGUGAAAUUUGAUUGUCUGCUAUGAUUUUAUUUGUUGAGAUAUUAUGAUAUAAAAUUAUUUAUAAAUUAAAUGAUACACCUUAAAUUAUAAUGUUGUUCCUUAAUGUUCACUAAAGCCAUUCACUGUAAAUCCACAAAUGUUUGCUUUCAUUUGUUGUUGCUAUUAAUAGGAAAGCAUGCACCAUUCAGGAAAAGCUGC
rnacentral:lncRNA from 1 species